GGAGGGGGGAGUGUUGACCUGGGAAUGUGCCCUGGGGAGGGGAGACCUGAGAGCCUGUCACCUGAGCCAGGAGGGGGAGGGGGAGGUGACACCUCUGCCCAGGAAUGUGAACAGAGGCUGCAGCAGGGAACCUGCUGGGUGGGUUGAGUUGGCAGUUUGGAGGCUGGGGGGAGGAACACAGGGAACCCCAGGGCUGGGGUCUAAGCUCCCUGCUCCCCCAGAAGGACGUGAUUGAGGGGUCCUGGUUGUACCCACAAGCUCUGUUGUGGACUGUGUUCCUGUUGUCCAAUAAACCUUCUGUUUUA